AAUUGAGAACCAUUAAAACGGGUUUAAUCUAGAUAAGACAAAAGGAAAGAUACAAUAAAGUUAGAAGUAAAAUUGUGUUAACAGUUAUGCACGUUAUGUAUUCAUUAAAAAAUGCAACUGCCUAUUUUUUUUAUCUUUUGUUUUUUUUUUUUUGGAAAAGGAUUUGGUCAAAUCAGCAUGAUUUGAUCAUAUAAAAAAAGGAUGCAAUGUGACCAUGGGAAAAAGGGUUAACUUUCAGUUUCAUUUGCUUUAAUAGUAAAUAUGUUCAGUAAGGUAGACCAACUAGGAGAAAAGAAUAAGGGUAAAUUAAAAUAUCGACCUUUUUAAAAUUCAGGUUUGAGUAGUUUCGAAAGAAAGCCAUCAUUACAUGUCUCCAUCGUCACUAGGGAAAAUGAAGUUAUCAGCGGGGAGUAAAAAGCCAAAACCCUUCGCAUCAUUGAAAAGUGCCUCUAGUGAGGCAUUGAUAUUUUCAUCAUUCCAAAGAUUUUGUAGGUUGAUUUGAUUAUGAUAAUCAGCAUCUCUAGGGAAGAAAGGCACCUGCGUCGAAUAAGCUGGUUCGGUAGCAUUAAGCCUUGAUUGAUAUACCUCGCUUUGUUCAGCAAAUGCCCGCAAGUUAGUUAUGACAUCCGUACUUCCUUUUAAAAGUGGAAAUCUGUCGGUAACAAAAUUCAAAAUGUCAAUAGCCGUAUUCAGUUGUUCGAUCGUUUGUUCAGACGGGUUGAUUAGAAGAUGCACCAGAAUGAUAAAAGAGGCGGCAUGACAUGAAUGGUAAUCCAUAAAUGAAUAGACAGAUAGAAAUUUGUGCAUUCUUAGUAGUACAAGGAGGUCGACAAUGUGCAAAGCGGAUGAAUAGCAGUAUGAAAUUAACUUAUCAGUAAGAAGCCUAGCUCCCUCAUCCGUCUUACUAUUCAUCGUUCUUUCACGAAGCCGGUGUAGUAAGAACGGUCGGCCCAUGGCAAUUCGAACAAUAUGAUAAGCUAGAUGCAAAUGAACGAUACCUCUGUAAGACCU